rnacentral:rRNA from 1 species
ACGAAGGGUGCAAGCGUUACUCGGAAUUACUGGGCGUAAAGCGUGCGUAGGUGGUUUGUUAAGUCUGAUGUGAAAGCCCUGGGCUCAACCUGGGAAUGGCAUUGGAUACUGGCAGGCUAGAGUGCGGUAGAGGGUAGUGGAAUUCCCGGUGUAGCAGUGAAAUGCGUAGAGAUCGGGAGGAACAUCUGUGGCGAAGGCGACUACCUGGACCAGCACUGACACUGAGGCACGAAAGCGUGGGGAGCAAACAGGAUUAGAUACCCUGGUAGUCCACGCCCUAAACGAUGCGAACUGGAUGUUGGGCUCAACUUGGAGCUCAGUAUCGAAGCUAACGCGUUAAGUUCGCCGCCUGGGGAGUACGGUCGCAAGACUG